AGACGGGGUCUUGCACUGUAGGCC
rnacentral:piRNA from 1 species